UUGACCUUCGGGUGCUCCGAGAUGCAUGGAGUCUGCGGGCAAGAAAAGCUGAAUGUGGAGCUGCCAGUCGUCCGUACCGUAAACCGACACAGGUGGGUGAGGCGAGUAGCCUCAGGUGAACGAGUGAAACGUGGUCAAGGAACUCGGCAUAAUGAUCCCGUAACUUCGGAAGAAGGGAUGCCUUGUUUGGUAACCGGACUUGCUCCGGGAGCAGAAUGAGGCCGCAGAGAAUCGGCCCAAGCGACUGUUUAGCAAAAACACAGGUGCGUGCCAAGCCGCAUAAGGCGCCGUAUACGCACUGACGCCUGCCCGGUGCCGGAAGGUUAAGGGGAGAGGUUAGCCGCAAGGCGAAGCUUUGAGCCGAAGCCCCGGUAAACGGCGGCCGUAACAAUAACGGUCCUAAGGUAGCGAAAUUCCUUGUCGGGUAAGUUCCGACCUGCACGAAUGGCGUAACGACUUGGGCACUGUCUCGACCACGUGCUCGGCGAAAUUGCAGUCUCGGUGAGGAUUCCGAGUCCCCGCAGCAGGACAAAAAGACCCCAUGCACCUUUACUGCAGCUUGUCAUUGGACAUUGCACUUCACUGUGUAGCAUAGGUGGGAGCCGGUGAACCCUGGGCGCUAGCCUGGGGGGAGGCAUCAGUGAAAUACCACCCUGUGUAGUGCGAUGCCCUCAUCACGGAAGGCAAACCCUUUCUGGGACCGUGGCAGGCGGGCAGUUUGACUGGGGCGGUCGCCUCCGAAAGAGUAACGGAGGCGCGCGCAAGGUUGGCUCAGCGCGGUCGGUACUCGCGCUUCUAGAGUGUAACGGCAAAGCCAGCCUGACGGAGAGACCGACGGGUCGACCCGCCACGAAAGUGGGCCGUAGUGAUCCGGUAGCCCGGGGUGGAGCGGCUAUCGCGCAACGGAUAAAAGGUACGCUGGGGAUAACAGGCUUAUCGCGCCCGAGAGUUCACAUCGACGGCGCGGUUUGGCACCUCGAUGUCGGCUUAUCACAUCCUGGGGCUGGAGAAGGUCCCAAGGGUCCGGCUGUUCGCCGGUUAAAGUGGUACAUGAGCUGGGUUCAGAACGUCGUGAGACAGUUCGGUCUGUAUCCGCUGUGGGCGUUAGUGUUGAGGGGAGCGGACUCUAGUACGAGAGGACCGAGUCGGACGAUCCGCUCGUGUCCCGGCUGUCCUGCCAAGGGCACCGCCGGGUAGCGAUGAUCGGCUGUGAUAACCGCUGAAUGCAUCUAAGUGGGAAGCACGCCCCAAGAUGAACACUCCCGAGGCUUCGAGCCUCCUGAAGGGCCGGGGAAGACCACCCCGUCGAUAGGCCGCCCGUGGACGUCGAGCGAUCGACUCCGAGCGCAGCGGUCCUAAUCGCCCGUGCGGCUUGACUAC
rnacentral:rRNA from 1 species